UACAGAGGGGGUAAGCGUUAUUCGGAAUUAUUGGGCGUAAAGGGCGCGUAGGCGGCUUUGCAAGUGGCGGGUGAAAUCCCUCGGCUUAACCGAGGAACUGCCUGUCAAACUGCAUGGCUUGAGACCAGGAGAGGUGAGUGGAAUUCCCAGUGUAGCGGUGAAAUGCGUAGAUAUUGGGAGGAACACCAGUGGCGAAGGCGGCUCACUGGACUGGUACUGACGCUGAUGCGCGAAAGCGUGGGGAGCAAACAGG
rnacentral:rRNA from 1 species